rnacentral:rRNA from 1 species
AUUGAACGCUGGCGGCAGGCCUAACACAUGCAAGUCGAGCGGAUGAAGAGAGCUUGCUCUCUGAUUCAGCGGCGGACGGGUGAGUAAUGCCUAGGAAUCUGCCUGGUAGUGGGGGACAACGUUUCGAAAGGAACGCUAAUACCGCAUACGUCCUACGGGAGAAAGCAGGGGACCUUCGGGCCUUGCGCUAUCAGAUGAGCCUAGGUCGGAUUAGCUAGUAGGUGGGGUAAAGGCUCACCUAGGCGACGAUCCGUAACUGGUCUGAGAGGAUGAUCAGUCACACUGGAACUGAGACACGGUCCAGACUCCUACGGGAGGCAGCAGUGGGGAAUAUUGGACAAUGGGCGAAAGCCAGAUCAAGCCAUGCCGCGUGUGUGAAGAAGGUCUUCGGAUUGUAAAGCACUUUAAGUUGGGAGGAAGGGCAGUAAGCUAAUACCUUGCUGUUUUGACGUUACCAACAGAAUAAGCACCGGCUAACUUCGUGCCAGCAGCCGCCGUAAAAC